GCCUGGGUGGCUCAGUUGGUUGAGCAUCCGACUUCGGCUCAGGUCAUGAUCUCAUGGUUUGUGGGUUCAAACCCCGCGUCAGGCU
rnacentral:tRNA from 1 species